CUGGUUAAACUCCUGGCAAGAAUU
rnacentral:tRNA from 1 species